AGGACUAGAAGGAUACACAGCAACAGAAGGAAACAACGUGAAUCAAGAGGGAAGAUGCAACCAAGAACAGAAGCAAACUGAGGGUUUAAAUACACAAGAAACGUUCAGGGGAGGAUGGAGACACCUGGUGAAACACAGCUAAACUAAAUCUACCUAAUGAGACGAGGAAGCAAAACUGAACAUAAGGCACACAGGAAGUAACAGACAUACAAACCUGACCUAAUCAGGGGAGCACAGAGACUGAGACAAAGAUCAACAACAGGUUGAGGAGAGAGGCCGGGCAGCUCAUCUAAGCCAGCUUUUAUAUCCUGGACAACACAGGCCGAGUUCAGAGAGGAUUUUCUUUACGCAAGUCUUUUCGGUGAAAACGACUCCCUGCUGCUGCAGGAAAAAGGCUGAUACAGCAGCGAAGCUCAACCAAACAGCAAAGCGGUGAAAAUAAUGAUGCAAAGGAUCCUCAGAGAGCAGCUUUGCCGAGCUUCCAGUGGUGAACUUCAGUGUCGACACCACCCAGAUGUUCUCUGACAGUGAUGAAGACCCCAGUUUGGGAUGUGACAUCGUGCACUGGAACACAGGAUGGAGACAGAAACGACUGCAGAAUACUGACCAGAUGCAGAAAUCUAAGUUUCAAAGUAUCUCUGCAGAAACCUGAAGGCUUCGACGGUGAGAUGAAAGUUUCAACAUUCAUUUAUUUCCCAGAAUAAUCUCAGAUUUUUACGUUCAGGGAUGUGACUGCUGUGCUACGCGUCCACCAGGACAGUUUUCCCCUGGAACCAGUCCACUUACAGUACUGUGAAAAUAUUGCAUAUAAAAAUUUAGAGCUACUCGCACAGCAGCACAACAUUAUCCAUAUUAAUCUUUAAAAUUAUUGAUUAAGUAGGAUCGUUUUUCACAGUA